CUGCAACCUCUGCCUCCUGGGUUCAAGCGAUUCUCCUGCCUCAGCCUCCCAGGUGGGAAUGAUGGUUAGAUGCUGCUGAGCGUAUGAAGAAGUGUGUGAAGGCGAUGUUGGCAAAGUCAUCAAGCUGGACAGAGAUAGAUUGCAUGAUCUCAAUGUGCAGUGUGACUGGCAGCAGAAAGGGGUACCUACUGGGUUAGGUACAUUCAUGUGGAACUUAUAGGCUAUCCUCCACCAAGUUCUUCUUACGUCAAGAUUGGUGAUAAAGUGCGGGUCAAAGCCUCUGUUGCCACACCGAAAUACCAGUGGGGAUCUGUGACUCAUCAGAGUGUGGGGGUUGUGAAAGCUUUCAGUGCCAAUGGAAAAGAUACCAUUGUCGACUCCCCAGCAGACUCACUGGACUGGGUUGCUGUCAGAAAUAGAGUUGGUCCCCAGUAUUCAUCCUGGGGUUACGUGUGAUGGAUGUCAGAUGUUUCCUAUCAAUGGAUCCAGAAUCAAAUGCAGAAACUGUGAUGACUUUGAUUUUUGUGAAACGUGUUUCAAGACCACAAAACACAAUACCAGGCAUACAUUUGGCAGAACAAAUGAACCAGCACUGGAUUCGUUUGGAGAUUUUCCCAGAUGUUCUUGUUCAUAGGUUAAAAAUGAUCGUAGAUCCUGCUGACAGUAGCUACAUGCCAUCCCUGGUUGUAGUGUCAGGUGGAAAUUCCCUGAAUAACCUUAUUGAACUAAAGACAAUCAAUAUUAACCCUUCUGACAUCACAGUGCCCCUUCUGAAUGACUGCACAGAG